UUACAUACUUUGGAUUGAUCAUAGUCAUCUUUCGUAGACCUCUUAGACAUAGUCUGUGGACUGCCAGGGGUCCGUGGACCACCGGUUGAAAACCACUGCUGUAGAAGGGAAUUGCAUUU